CAUCUCAGUACCCGCAGGAAGAGAAAACAACCGUGAUUCCGGGAGUAGUGGCGAGCGAAACCGGAUGAGGCCAAACCGUAUGUGUGUGAUACCCGGCAGGGGUUGCAUGUACGGGGUUGUGGGAUUGUUCUUUCAUGGUCUGCCGGCUGUGAGGUGAGUCAGAAACCGUUGGUGUAGGCGAAGGACAUGCGAAAGGUCCGGCGUAGAGGGUAAGACCCCCGUAGCUGAAACAUUGACGGCUCACUUGAAUUAUUCCCAAGUAGCACGGGGCCCGA
rnacentral:rRNA from 1 species